rnacentral:lncRNA from 1 species
UUCAGAGAAAAAUAUAUAUAUAUUUCAAUACGAGAAGAAUUUUAGAGAAAAAAAAAUUUCAAUACUGGAGAUUCAGAGAGAAAAAAUAUUUUUCAGUACUGGAGGAGUGAUAAAAAAUUUCAGAACUUAAGAGUUCAGUCUUGGAGAAUUAAAAACAAAAAAGUGAAGCCUUUUUUUUACUGCUGAAUAUCAGAAAUAGUAUUGUUACUAUUUCACUGGUUAUUGCUGGAUUUUCUACUUGGUUUUUCAAAUCUAUUCCUGGGUUCUUCCUGCGCUGUUUGGUUACUGGUUUACUACUUUGGUUGAUGAUCCUGUUGCUGUAUUGUGAUACUAUAGCACUACUGAUUUCUUCCUCUUAUUUGCUUUUCGAAUACCAGGUACACAGCUGAUACACUGGUUAAUGUAAACUGAAAAUUGAAGCACGAAUAAGAAAUGAAGAGUUGAAGUUUUAUAUUCGUUAUAGUCGUCUACUUGCUCGUAUAUACAGUAGAAUACUUUUUUCAUUAGAAUCAUGUAGUCAUUUGUUUGUGUAUAAAUAGUCAUGCUGUGUUAAUUCGUUAUUACUUGUCAAGAAGCAUGCUCGAUACUAUUGAUUAAACAUGUAAGCAGUUUAGGAUAAAAUUCAUUUUUUAGUUCUUUCACCCCAAUUGCAUGUCAUUCUAAAUUUGCAAAAAGUCUAUUAAUAAAAAAUAAUACAAGUUCACCUUAAGAUGGAUUAACGUUUAGAUUUAAUAAACUUUCGAAUAAGCAUUAAUAAUUAAGGUUGAUUUUAGUUUUAAAUAAAAAAUAAUACAAGUUUACCUUAAGAUGGUUUAACGUUUAGAUUUAAUAAACUUUCGAAUAAGAAUUAAUAUUUAAGUUUGAUUUUAUUUAUAAAUCGUUAUAAAUAAUUAAUGAUUUAUUCAUUUAAUUGUGCGCGUUUUUAAUCUAGCUAUAAUUAAUUUCUUUUGAAUAUUAGUUGUCAAAUUUCAUAUUCUAUUUAUAAUUUCAAAAUUUUAUUUUUUAUUUUUUAUUUAGAAAUUAUUUUUAUAUAUUUCCUUUCCAUUAAUAUUUGCCUUAAUCUAGCAAUUAGCGGGUUACAUUUUUUCAAGCUCGUAACUAAUUAGGAUUUUUUCUAUUUUAAUUUAGAGACAAAUUUAAUAGAAAAAAUAUGGCCACUUCAGGAUUUUCCUUUUAAAAUAAAUGAGGUGAGCCUCUCCAAAUAAAUAAAUUGUGGAGCCCUCAGUAAAUAUUUAAAAUAUAUAGAAAAAUAGGGAAGGGUCGUUUAGCGAAUUUCACGACUCUCCCAAAAGACCACAACUCACUAGACUCUCUUUAGGAUGCGCCUUAAUUAAUCUUACUUUCCUAAACUCGAGUGUGCAUUUAUGCCACCCAAAAUUAAAUCUCAACAGAGUCGAAAUAUGUCGACGACCACGGGGACACUGGCUGUGAUGUGGUCUGAGAUAUGUUUCACAAUGUUGCAAUUCUCUGUAAAUAAUAACAAUAAUAUUUUGAAUAAAAGCGGUCAAAAGUAAAAUUGGCAUAUAAGUUACAACAUAUUUAAAAAUCAGAUAAAUAAGCGGAAUAUAACAGUUGAGCAACCGUGCUAGAACCACGGAACUCGGGAAUGCCUAACACCUUCUCCCGGGUUAAUAGAAUUCCUAUCCGGAUUUCUGGUGCGCGGACUGUUAAACAGAGUCAUUCUUUUCUUCAAUUCGGGAUUAAACCGGUGAUUUGAGACACCAUAAAUCUCCCAAGUGGCGACUCUGAAUUAAAUAAACAAAUCCCGUUUCGAUUGUUUUUAAAUUGAAAAACUCCCUUGCGCCCUCGGGGUGCGCAGAAAAAGGAGGUGCGACAGCUCUGGCGACUCUGCUGUGGAUGAUAAACCCAGAAUCUCUGGUUCAGGGUAAAAGAAUUCGAGCUUGGAAUAAUUGUUGGAUUUGUCUUUAUUAUUAUCUGAUUUUAUUAUAUGACUGUGCUUAAUGUGCUAAUUGGCUGCUUUUACCACUUUUAUAUUGUUUUGACUGUAUAUAAAUUGUGCCGAAUCCUUUCUCUUCUUACCUCUAGGGAUGCUGCUCAGUGGUUUGAGACUCCCCAUUCUGUUAGUGUUACCCAAUAAGAAAGAGGCUUGGACAAGUUACGAAGCCAGACGAUCUCGCGGGUCCCCGGUAAGUUGCCCCCUCCUCGCCCGAGUUGUCCGUUCGGGUUAGCUAGGUCUAGAACAAAGCCCAAGUUUGAAACCUUAGAAUAACAAAAAUUCAUGCCGGAUCCCUAGUAGGAAACACUUAUUUGCAUCACGUUGCAUUUGACUUAGGGGGCUCAACACAAGGGUUGGGCCCAUCUAGGAAUAGCAACCUGAAACAAAAAGACCAUCACUGCUGCAUCUUGUUUGAUUUGCGCAUUUAUUUUGCUUCGAACUUACAUGUUGACCGGCUUGAGAUAGUCCCGUCUAGGAAUAGCAACCUGAAUGGAAAAGACUACCCUGCUGCAUCUUGUUUGUUUUGCGCAUUUAUUUGUUUCAGACUUGCACGCUGACCGACUUGUGAAAUCGGAAAUUUUGAAAAAAUUGUGAAAAAGAAAAAUGGCAAUGUAGAGAGAUAACUACUCAGUUUUAGGAAAAAAAACCAAUGCCCAAGUACUAGCAAAACUCUGCCGAAAUUUUGAAAAAAAAAAUAUAUUUUAUUGUUGAUAGUUUGUUCACUAAAAGCAAAGGAAAAAUAGAAAGAAAAAAGUUUUUUAUUAUUUUUGAAAAUUGUUUUUUGAAAGAAACAAAAAGAAUCGUUACGUUGUCUUGCUUUAGAAAAAAAAUAGUUUGUCUUGUAUUGAAAAUGAAAAAAAGGCUUGUUUUUUAAAAAUAAUUAAUUUAUUUUACUUAUUUAUGAAAUGCCAAAAAUGAAAAUGAAAAAAGAGUCUUAUUUUAAAAUAGUUAUUUUAUUUUGUUUGUUUAUGAGAUGCCAAAAGUGAAAAAAAAAAGAGUCUUGUUUUUUAAAAUAGUUAUUUUAUUUUAUUUUUUUAUAAAUGCCAAAAAUAAAAAUGAAAAAGAGUCAGGUUUUAAAAUAGUUUGGUUAAUUUGGGUAAAAUACGCUGGUUUGAUUCUCACCGGAUGUAAAAUACGUAGGCAGCCCUCAUCGGGUCCAACCUCCCCUUUUGCAAAAAAAUAGCCAAAAAAAUCAAAUUUUAAUGUUCGUCAUAAAUAAGUCGGGUGAUGCCGCUCUUGUCAAAUAUAGCCGAAUGUCUCCGAAAGGGACGCCGAAAGGCUGACUUUGCAUAAACGGUCACCUUUGGUCAUUUUUUAGAUUUUGGUCGAUUGACCCACACAACCUUAGAAUCUUCGUCCCCGAGGCACUGAAAGUCCGUGUUUGCAAAUAUCUGGUUUUUUAUUUUCGAAAAAUAAGAAAAGAGUCAUAAAUAAGUAGGGUGAUUCCGAUUUUGUCAAAAUAGCCCAAUGUUCCCGAAAGGGACGCCGGAAGGCUGACUUUUGCAUAAACAAUCACCCUUGGGUCAUUUUUUAAAUUUUGGCCCAGUUGACCCACAGCGAGUUCAAUUCCCAGAGAUCCUCUGAUAUUGGUAUGAAGGACUGCGGGUUCAAUUCCCGGAGAUCCCCGGAUAUUGAUAAAGUGGACUGCGGGUUCAAUUCCCGGAGAUCCUGUGAUAUUGGUAUGAAGGACUGCUGGUUCAAUUCCCGGAUAUCCUCGGAUAUUGAUAAAGUGGACUGCGGGUUCAGUUUCCGGAGAUCCUCGGAUAUUGAUAAAGUGGAAUGCGGGUUUGAUUAUUCGGAGCUCCAUGUAGAGACCCUAACUUUUGAGAUAUUUGCUUUGUGUUCGUAGUCUGUACUUGUAGCCGUUCUGUUUUAAUUACUGCCUUGUUAGAUAUUCGGGAUUUACUCCAUUAUCUACCGUUUAAUUAUUUAUGCAUUAUUUCUUAUGUUAUUCUCAGUAGGGCCUCGACCUUCCUCAUCACUACUCCAUCGAGGUUAGGCUUGGCACUUGCUGAGUACCUUUGUGGUGUACUCAUGCUACUCUUCUGCACACUUUUGUUGUGCAGAUCCAAGUACUCUUGAUCGGGCGUGUCAUCAGUGAUUAGGAGCUAUACUCGGAGAUCUGAAGUAUGCAUUUGCCGCGAGGCGAAGAUUCCCCCUCUGUUCUCUUGUUUUAUCUAUGUAUUCUCUCGUUGUAGACACUUCUGGAUUUUAGAGCCAUGUGUUAUACUUUACUCUUAGCCUGUGUUGCCCAUGGGUUUGCGGGUCUUGGAGAUUUUUACGUUAUUUGAGUUGACAUGUAUGUUCCAGGCGGCACUCUAUAUCCGCGUCCGCUGAGCCGAAGAGUCUCUUUCUAUUCUCCCUUUAGCUAGUGGUUUCGUUCAUGUACUCGCUUGUUGUAGAUACUCAUGGAUGUAGAGCCGUAUGUUAUACUUUACUCUUAGCCUGUGUGGCCCGUGGGUUUCCGGGUCUUGGAGAUUUUUACGUUAUUUUGAGUUGACAUGCAUAUGCCAGGCGGCACUUUAUACAUUAUCUUAUGUCAUGUUCUGUUUAUCGUUCCGCAAAGAUUGUUGAAUUUUCACUGUGUGCCAGGCUUACCUAGUCGCAAAAACUGGGUGCCGUCAUGACAGGUUCACGAUUAGUAAAUUAGGAUCGUGACAAAAAACCCAUAAAAUAAUGCUCACAAAAGGAAAAAGAAGUUAUGUCUGUUCAAUUUCAAAGGUUAUAUACACAAUUUCAUCUUAGGCAUAAAUAUAGAAAUAAUAAUCUGCCUAAAUAUACCUACAUCGAUCCCCACAGAAGUCCUCUCUCAAUCUAAAUCCAAAUAUUGCAAAGCUCUCGUUCCACUUUCCACUGCCGCCAUUGCAAAUGUAAAAUACCACAUUCUAAGAAUUAGUACAAAAAUAAACAAUCAUCAAAAAAAUUUGUAAUAAACAUGUAAAAGCAAUGCUUUAGGCUAUGGAUAACAAAUACAGAGGCUAUUGAAACUGUUGAAAAUACUAAAUUUAGAUGCACUUGCUAGUGCACUUUUCUGCUUCAAUUGGGUUAAAAUUAUCUCGUGUUUAUUCUCCUUAUUUCUUGCAAUUGGCUUUAGACUUGCAAGGAGAGCCAGAAUGCUUUACACACCC